GGCACGAAAAGUGUCAAGGAA
rnacentral:snRNA from 1 species